AUAUUUCUACCUCUAAUGAAACAUCUUCAAUAUUCUGGAUUAAUUUAAGGAUCCAAGAUUUCCAAUCUGUCUGCAAUGAUCUUAGUGAUGAUUUUGAAUUGAAAUUUUGUAAGUGCAAGAGGUUUAUAUUGCUCAAUAAAACCUAUUCCAUGUUGUUUAGGUAUCAAAGUCACAUUUGUUGUUCUUAGUGGAUUGAUCCUUUGGAUUGACUGCAUUUAUCAAAAC
rnacentral:lncRNA from 1 species